rnacentral:lncRNA from 1 species
GUUUUUCAUUUUUUAUAAUGUCCUAAUAAGAAUUGCAAUCCAACUGCCUUGGUAUUGCCCACAGGUACAUGCUUUGGAAUGGGGCGCCUGUGUAACUGUGACAGCAAUGAUCACGUCUGGAGGAUGGAUGAGGGUUUUCUCAGAGACAAAAACUCGCUGCCUGUGAAGGCCGUGCACUUUGGGGACACUAAGGAUGCCCCUCUAGAAAUGGCCUUCCACACUGUAGGAAAACUGACCUGCAAAGGGAAAAGUAAGUCUCAAGCACAUCACCGAGCAUCUAAACCCAGGCAUAAAAGGACAGCAGAUAUAGUUAUUGGAGAGAGGGCAUACCGAAGAUUAUUGGAAAUUGUAUCCCGACUUGCCUGAGAAACCAGUUGAUUGUGGUUUGUUAUAGAGCUUUUAGGCAAGACCUGCUGACAUGCAAAGGAUUACUCCUGAGACACGAAAUUCAAAGAUGACCCAUUUUAAUUUUUAGAUGAGAGGAAAGAUUCAUUUAAGGAUACUGCUGCACUGACUACAGGCAUACAGUAGAAGGAGCUGCUCUGGUAUUUAGACCUGGCAAGCUGCAUCUCUGCACCAGUUAACAGGCAUCACUAAGAACUAUUCAGCUUCCACCUUCAGGAGCUCUGGGUAGAAAAGACAGAAGGAUUUUUAAAAUGUAAUGAGUCACAGACAAUGAUUAUCAGUGAGUUGUGGAUGCAAGAAAUGUUUAAGAAUAGCAUUGGGGAGCUACUGAACCAGUACUGCAGCACAAUACACAUUGGAGAGUAUGCGUGCAAAAUUCCUAAAGUUUAAAAACCAAUGCACUUUUGGUUUGUCAAAAGUUAGGGCACAUAUAUAAUAUUUUGUGUUCUCAUGCAUACAUUAUUUUAUAAAAAGGUUCAUCAAUUUGGUAAAAAUUGUAAAAAAUGUAUUGAAAAUAUUUCUGAUUUUUCACUCAUUUCUAUGUAAGGUGGCAAAUGAUAUCAUCAUAUGAAAUAUUGAUGCAUACAGUUAUUAGUAUUGUAACAUUGAGUUAUACCAAAACACAAAGUAGCUAUGGUCACUUUCAACACUUGGUAGUCCUGUGUCCUUUACACAAUGUGAAAUGUCAGAUAAAAGUCACAAGUAGCUGAGGUGACAUUUAUACAAGCUCAUUUCAGUAGUGUUUCAUUCCUACCAAGAGAAGGUACAAUGUGUAAUCUUAUGAGAAGCUGUUAGUGCCACUUAAGGUGAACUUGCCGCAGAAAUAAGAUAGGUUAGAAGAGGUAUUGUCCAGAAUAAAAUUAUCAAUGUUAUGUAUUUCUUAAGGAAAAAUUAAGAAUAAAAAACUGAAG